rnacentral:rRNA from 1 species
ACCGCGAGGUGGAGCGAAUCUCCAAAAAUUGUCCCAGUUCAGAUUGCAGGCUGCAACUCGCCUGCAUGAAGUCGGAAUUGCUAGUAAUCGUGGAUCAGCAUGCCACGGUGAAUACGUUCCCGGGCCUUGUACACACCGCCCGUCACACCAUGGGAGUCGGUAACACCCGAAGCCUGUAGUCUAACCGCAAGGAGGACGCAGUCGAAGGUGGGAUUGAUGACUGGGGUGAAGUCGUAACAAGGUAAC